rnacentral:rRNA from 1 species
AGUUGUCUGGUUUUUAUAGGCAGCUUAGCCUGCCCACUGAGAUUUAUAGGGCUGCAGUAUUAUGACUGUACAAAGGUAGCACAAUCACUAGUCUUUUAAUUGAGGACGGGUAUGAAAGGUGACACAAGGGAGCACUAUUUACUAUUUAGUUUGUUAAAUUUUUCUUUGUUGUUAGAAGACAACGAUGUGAUUAAAAGACAAGAAGACCCUUUUAAAGUUUAUUUAAUCAAGAGCAUUUUUAUUUGAGAUCAGUAUAAUUGGUUUGAUUAGGUUUAGCUGGGGCGGCAAAUAUAAAACAUUAUUUAAUAAUAAAUAAGUUAUUAGCUAGUAAAAUGAACCUGAAGAAGGGAUGAAAGAAUAAGUUACUAAAGGGUUAACAGCGUAAUAUUAUUUGAGAGUUCAUAUUGACAAUGGUGUUUGCGA